GACGAACGCUGGCGGCGUGCUUAACACAUGCAAGUCGAACGGUGAAGGGACUGGUUUUGCUGGUCCUGGAUGAGUGGCGAACGGGUGAGUAACACGUGAGUAACCUGCCCCCUUCUUCUGGAUAACCGCAUGAAAGUGUGGCUAAUACGGGAUAUUCUGGGUCUGUCGCAUGGUGGGCCUGGGAAAGAUUGCGCCUUUUUUGGUGUUUUUGGUGGGGGAUGGGCUCGCGGCCUAUCAGCUUGUUGGUGGGGUGAUGGCCUACCAGGGCGGUGACGGGUAGCCGGCCUGAGAGGGUGGACGGUCACACUGGGACUGAGACACGGCCCAGACUCCUACGGGAGGCAGCAGUGGGGAAUAUUGCACAAUGGGCGCAAGCCUGAUGCAGCGACGCCGCGUGAGGGAUGGAGGCCUUCGGGUUGUGAACCUCUUUCGCCAGUGAAGCAGGCCUGCCUCUUUUUGUGGGUGGGUUGACGGUAGCUGGAUAAGAAGCGCCGGCUAACUACGUG
rnacentral:rRNA from 1 species